ACGGGAGGCAGCAGUGGGGAAUAUUGGGCAAUGGGCGAAAGCCUGAUGCAGCGACGCCGCGUGAGCGAUGAAGUAUUUCGGUAUGUAAAGCUCUAUCAGCAGGGAAGAUAAUGACGGUACCUGACUAAGAAGCCCCGGCUAACUACGUGCCAGCAGCCGCGGUAGUACGUAGGGGGCAAGCGUUAUCCGGAUUUACUGGGUGUAAAGGGAGCGCAGGCGGUUUUUUAAGUCUGAUGUGAAAGCCCGUGGCUCAACUGCGGGACUGCAUUGGAAACUGGAUAACUAGAGUGUCGGAGGGGCAAGUGGAAUUCCUAGUGUAGCGAUGAAAUGCGUAGAUAUUAGGAGGAACACCAGUGGCGAAGGCGGCUUGCUGGACGAUAACUGACGCUGAGGCUCGAAAGCGUGGGGAGCAAACAGGAUUAGAUACCCUGGUA
rnacentral:rRNA from 1 species